rnacentral:lncRNA from 1 species
CCUCACGAAGCCACCCAUAGUACUGCGACAUGCUGAUCCAGAGCCAGAGCGUGCUAUAACACUGAUGUCUCCCUAGGAUGAGGAUUAUUUUGAUAAAAUAAUAUCAUUUCACUUUGGCUAGUGCUGCUGCGAGACACGCAUAUCCUGCCGCGCUUGAAGCCAGACCAGCAGCAGUUGGAAAAUUAUUUUUCGAACAAAUAUAAAUCCUCCAGUCGUUCAUGUCACCAGACUGAUAAUAGAAAUAAUGCUUCGUUGAUGUACCUCCCAUUCAGCCAAAUACGAUCCUCCUUGAAGUCGCGACUGAUCAUGACAGUGGUUUUCGCAUGUAGCUAAGAAUAAAAUAAAAACGCUAUAUUUUAUCGAAAAA